CCGGCAAAGGGGUUGCUCCGAAGAGCUUACCUUGAAAGCAACCUGGGCCAGUCACCAGGCAUUCAACACAGAUUGUGGAGGAGGAGGUUUUUUGCUUCAGAGCACAUUCGGUCCAAACCAGCUGAACCUAAUCCCAUCAGGAGCCCUCAGAGCCCAGGGAGGCCACCACCCCUCCCCCCUUAGAGAGCAGGGUCUUAUGAAAGAACCAGCUGAACCUAAUCCCAUCAGGAGCCCUCAGAGCCCAGAGAGGCCAUGCAUCUCCCCCCUUAGAGAGCAGGGUCUUAUGAAAAAACAGGAACCUAGAGGCAGAGUCAAGAUGGCAGCCUAGAAGGAGCAUAGACCUGGCGGCCUGGCCAGAGCUUUGGAGAUCCUCCAUAUUUGCUCCAGCUGUCCAGGAAGUUUAAAACUCAGAGUAAACCCAGCCCAACUAAGCUGAACUUAAUCCCAUCAAAAGUCUCCAGAAUGCAGGGAAGCCCAGGCUCCCCACCCAUCCUCAUUGAUUGCUGGACUUUAAGCCAAUCAAAAGCCUCCAGAGGACAGGAAAGCUCAAACCCCCAACAACCCUCCCCCAGAGACUACACCAAGAGAUCUUCUGUUAAAGCUCCAAGAAUGGAGACUGAUAGAAGCCCCCUCAAAACAAAAAAAAAAUGAGAGGAACAAGAGCACAGACAAAUACAGGGACUAAAGAAGGGGUGAGUUUGAGCAAACAAGAGGAAAAGAAGAAAGAAACUACAAUAGACAGCUUCUACUCAGCAAAAUGAACAGAGGGAGGAGAUCAGCAAAUGAUAAAUCAGAAAUCCCAGCAAAUUGGAUAGAGGCUGUGGAAGAACUCAAAACACAACUAAGAGAGGCUGAAGACAAUUGGGGAAAGAACUUAAAAAUUAAGAUAAGUCAUCUGGAAACAGAGGCACUUGAACUAAAACGAGAUAAUAGUGUCUUGAAAGCCAAAAUCAACCAGCUGGAAAAUGAGGCAAAGGAGAUGAAAGACAAGGUAAAGAGGAUGAAAGAUGAUCUUCAAAGAAAAUCAGACCAGAAGGAAAAGGAGGCAAAGGAGAUGAAAGAUGAGAUGAAGAAGAUGAAAGAUGAGAAAAAGGAGAUGAAAGAGAUAAUAAGGAAAAAGACCUAUAUAAGAA
rnacentral:lncRNA from 1 species